GCUCGGGACCCGCACCACCUCCUCCUCCGUACACGCCACCUCCGUCUGGCCGGCGGAUCAAUCCCGGUCAAGGAUCUGGUGGUAGUAGUAAGAGCCCAUCUAAUGACAGUGGAGGCGGGAAAAAAUCUGGCAUAGGCGGUGGUGGCGUAGCCGGCAUUAUCAUUUCUCUUCUGGUCAUUGGUGCAAUUGUUGCAUUCUUCUUGGUAAAGAGGAAAAAACGGAAUUCUUCGACCGAGAGAACUCAAGAUCCUGACCAAACUUUCACGCCACUUGCCUCAAAUGAAGUCAAAGUUGACAAACAUGAGACGAAGCCCAUUCAAGCACCUUCAACAAUGAACACAACCAUGUUGCAUACACCAACUGUUAUUAACCUUAAGCCUCCACCCAGUGACCGACACAAAUCAUACGACGAAGAUGACGUCACUAACAAGCCUCUAGUGGUGAAGAAAUCUAAUAAAGAUCCCAUAAGAGCCACCGUUUAUUCAGUAGCUGACCUGCAGAUUGCUACAAAUAGUUUCAG
rnacentral:misc_RNA from 1 species